rnacentral:rRNA from 1 species
CCUACGGGUGGCAGCAGUGGGGAAUAUUGCACAAUGGGGGAAACCCUGAUGCAGCGACGCCGCGUGAAGGAAGAAGUAUUUCGGUAUGUAAAGCUCUAUCAGCAGGGAAGAUAAUGACGGUACCUGACUAAGAAGCCCCGGCUAACUACGUGCCAGCAGCCGCGGUAAUACGUAGGGGGCAAGCGUUAUCCGGAUUUACUGGGUGUAAAGGGAGCGUAGGCGGUUUAGCAAGUCAGAAGUGAAAGCCCGGGGCUCAACCCCGGGAGUGCCUUUGAAACUGUCUAACUAGAGUGCAGGAGAGGUAAGUGGAAUGCCUAGUGUAGCGGUGAAAUGCAUAGAUAUUAGGAGGAACACCAGUGGCGAAGGCGGCUUACUGGACUGUAACUGACGCUGAGGCUCGAAAGCGUGGGGAGCAAACAGGAUUAGAUACCCGGGUAGUC